CCUACGGGCGGCAGCAGUGGGGAAUAUUGGGCAAUGGGCGCAAGCCUGACCCAGCAAUGCCGCGUGAAGGAAGAAGGCUUUCGGGUUGUAAACUUCUUUGACAGGGGAAGAGCAGAAGACGGUACCCUGAAAACAAGCCACGGCUAACUACGUGCCAGCAGCCGCGGUAAUACGUAGGUGGCAAGCGUUGUCCGGAUUUACUGGGUGUAAAGGGCGUGUAGCCGGGAAGGCAAGUCGGAUGGGAAAUCUGGAGGCUCAACCUCCAAAUUGCAUUUGAAACUGUUUGUGUUGAGUACUGGAGAGGCAGACGGAAUUCCUUGUGUAGCGGUGAAAUGCGUAGAUAUAAGGAGGAACACCAGUGGCGAAGGCGGUCUGCUGGACAGCAACUGACGGUGAGGCGCGAAAGCGUGGGGAGCAAACAGGAUUAGAUACCCCUGUAGUC
rnacentral:rRNA from 1 species